GAUCCUGGCUCAGGACGAACGCUGGCAGCGUGCCUAAUACAUGCAAGUAGAACGCUGAAGGAGGAGCUUGCUUCUCUUGGAUGAGUUGCGAACGGGUGAGUAACGCGUAGGUAACCUGCCUGGUAGCGGGGGAGUAACUAUUGGAAACGAUAGCUAAUACCGCAUAAUAGCAGUUGUUGCAUGACAAACUGUUUGAAAGGUGCAAUUGCACCACUACCAGAUGGACCUGCGUUG
rnacentral:rRNA from 1 species